CAGGAAAGGCCCCCUUUCAUCCCAGAAGGAGUGGUGGCACGCAGGAAGAGAAUGGAGAUUGGGGAGCCUCAGAGGAAGAGGGAACGAGAUAUUGAACUGGAACUGGGAGAUGAUUAUAUUUUGGAUCUUCAAAAGUACUGGGACAUAAUGAAUUCAUCUGAAAAGUAUGAUAAGAUACCUGAGAUCUGGCAAGGCCACAAUGUAGCUGAUUACAUUGAUCCUGACAUCAUGCAGGUUUGUGUCACUUGUUAAAUUACAUGGUUUUUAUUCCUUUUUAAUACGACCACAAGGUACAAGCACAACUUUUAGCUGGUCUCAUGGUGUCAUGGUCAGUACUCUGUUCUGUGACUCAAGCACAGCUUUGGGCUCACCUGCACCUGUCGGUGUCGUUCCUUCUAUACCCAUGACCCUCCCCAUCCCCAGUCACUGACAGCCUGCUCCUGCCAAGUGUCCUGGAGACCCCAACACUCUGCCCAUUGGCAGUGCCAUUCAUCCUCGUUCCCCACAGGCCUUUUCCCUUCUCAGACUCCUUUUCUACUUCCCUCUUAACUAAAAAGAUCAAAAUGUGUGUAAUAUUCAUAUUUAAAAAAAAAAAAUAAAUAUAUGUAUGCAUAUACACACACCUAUCAGUUUUUAUCCUUUAUUGUUAUUUUAUUAGGUUGCACUUAUUGUAUAAGCUUCUUUUAUGUAGAAUAUGAAAUUAUGUCAUUCACAGGAUUUCCCUUUUUGACAAUGGCUAACCAGAAAGUUCCAAGUGACAAAGUCAAAUUAAAUAUAGUUCCCAACAAAAUACUAUA